rnacentral:lncRNA from 1 species
GGUGCUACUCAACACCGCUCUUUCUUUCCUUCAUUGUGUUGCAAACUUACUUAGUGGUCAUCUUUCAGAGGGGCUCCUGCUACUACCCACCUGAGAAUCCUGAUCCUCCCCCUAUCCCAGAAGCACCUGUAAACCUCCCCAGUCUUCCCAGCAGUGAGGAAUACAGAAGACUGACACCACGGAAUAGUCCCAGGGGAGCCUCAGCAGUUUUUGUAGCAACUGCAAGGGAUGCUGCUGUGUCUGAAACUGGCCAGUGAAACCCACAAAUCUAUUCACCAGCACCACACCUGGCUAGGGACGCUCCGAGAGCCGGGCUCCUUGCUGGUCUCCUGAGGCUGAGGUUCCCAGAGACAUGCUCAGUACAACCUGGCCGUGUUCCUUCAUCUCCCAAGUGGAUGAAUGAAGCUCUCCUCACAAGCAUGCACAACGGCUCCACGCCAAAGCUUCCCACAGAACACAGAACCUGGCUAUAAGGCUCCAUCAAACGGCAGGUUUCUCUCUCUCUCCAACUCACCCACUGAAAGUUUCAGAGACACGGGAGAGCAGAACCCUAGAACAAUGAGGCAAUCUUCAACAUCACAACUAACAACUCCUAUUUAUUAAGCAUUUGUAUGUGUAAAACUGUGCCAUGAGUUUUCCAUUCAUUCCCUUGCAGAAUCUCCAGCCUCAUUUAAGAGGCACUGAGAUCCAUGGAAGUCAAAUAACCAAGAGGUAACAACCUCAAAGUUGCAAGCUCAGAUAUGCUGCUAACUUCCUUGUCUGACACUAGGCAGCCCCCUCCUCUGUCUGUAACCAAAGAAAUUCAUAAAGUUCAGGCCCAAAGACGAACUAGCCAUCAACUAAAUCUAAGGAGUAACCUAUUAAGUACUUUUACAGAAACCAACAGAAAUAAAUUCUGCUUCAAA